rnacentral:rRNA from 1 species
UACAGAGGUCUCAAGCGUUGUUCGGAUUCAUUGGGCGUAAAGGGUGCGUAGGCGGCGCGGUAAGUCGGGUGUGAAAUCUCGGAGCUUAACUCCGAAACUGCAUUCGAUACUGCGGUGCUUGAGGACUGGAGAGGAGACUGGAAUUCAUGGUGUAGCAGUGAAAUGCGUAGAGAUCAUGAGGAAGACCAGUGGCGAAGGCGGGUCUCUGGGCCGAAAUUGACGCUGAGGAGCGAAAGCGUGGGGAGCAAACAGG